UACGUAGGGGGCAAGCGUUGUCCGGAAUCAUUGGGCGUAAAGCGCGUGUAGGCGGUUACGUAAGUCAGGGGUGAAAUCCCACGGCUCAACCGUGGAAGUGCCUUUGAUACUGCGGGCCUUGAGGGAGGUAGGGGCGUGCGGAACUUCCGGUGGAGCGGUGAAAUGCGUAGAUAUCGGAAGGAACACCGGUGGCGAAAGCGGCGCGCUGGACCUCUUCUGACGCUGAGGCGCGAAAGCCAGGGGAGCAAACGGG
rnacentral:rRNA from 1 species